rnacentral:lncRNA from 1 species
AGGAAAUCAGGUUGGUCAAGCAGGACUUGCCCUUCAUGAACCCAUGCUGGCUAGGCCUGAUCCCCCGGUUGUCCCACACAUGCCGUGUGAUCUCCCUCAAGACAAUCUGCUCCAGAAUCUUCCCUGACACACAGGUCAGGCUAACAGGCCUGUAGUUCCCCGGAUCCUCGCUGCAGACCUUCUUGUAGAUGGGAGUCACAUUGGAAAGCCUCCAGUUUUCUGGGACCUCACCCGUCAACAAGGAGCGCUGAUAGGUGAUGGAAAGUGGCUCGGCUAUCACCUCCGCC